UUUGAUGGUCUUCCUCAAUUUGCUGAUCUGAGCUUCGUAAUCUUCCUUGGCACUCUUCUUAUCCCUAUUGGUAAGCUCCAGAAUUCUUUCCAAGUCUCGAACAAUACGCCAUGCUCAAUCCAGUUCGUUGUUUCGUCCAUCAAGUUUUGAAUUUGCUCCUAGGAGAGCACCGCCGACCCACUCUUUCUUACCUUUUUCAUCUCUUGCUCUCUUCUUACUGGUC
rnacentral:lncRNA from 1 species